CCUACGGGAGGCAGCAGUGGGGAAUAUUGGGCAAUGGGCGCAAGCCUGACCCAGCAACGCCGCGUGAAGGAAGAAGGUCUUCGGGUUGUAAAGUUCUUUUAUCAGGGACGAAGCAAGUGACGGUACCUGAGGAAUAAGCCACGGCUAACUACGUGCCAGCAGCCGCGGUAAUACGUAGGUGGCAAGCGUUAUUCGGAUUUACUGGGUGUAAAGGGCGUGUAGGCGGGGGUGCAAGUCAGAGGUGAAAACUCUGGGCUCAACCCAUCGCAUGCAUUUGAAACUGGACUUCUUGAGUGCUGUAGAGGCAAGCGGAAUUCCGGGUGUAGCGGUGAAAUGCGUAGAUAUACGGAGGAACACCAGUGGCGAAGGCGGCUUUCUGGACAGUAACUGACGCUGAGGCACGAAAGCGUGGGGAGCAAACAGGAUUAGAUACCCUAGUAGUC
rnacentral:rRNA from 1 species